rnacentral:rRNA from 1 species
GAAUAUUGCGCAAUGGCCGAAAGGCUGACGCAGCGACGCCGCGUGGAGGAUGAAGUCCGUUAGGACGUAAACUCCUUUUGCAGGGGAAGAAUGUCCGCCUAUGGUGGAAGAGACGGUACCCUGCGAAUAAGGAUCGGCUAACUACGUGCCAGCAGCCGCGGUAAUACGUAGGAUCCGAGCGUUGUCCGGAAUUACUGGGUGUAAAGGGCGUGUAGGUGGGUCUCUAAGUCGGUGGUGAAAUCCUGCAGCUUAACUGUAGAAUUGCCUUCGAUACUGGAGAUCUUGAGUGCGGCAGAGGGAGACGGAAUUCAUGGUGUAGCGGUGAAAUGUGUAGAUAUCAUGAAGAACACCGGUUGCGAAGGCGGUUUCCUGGUCCGUUACUGACACUGAGGCGCGAAAGCGUGGGGAGCAAACAGG